AGUAACGACGUGAGGAACCUGCCGUUCCAGAGGGGGACGAACAGUUGGUAAACGAACUGCUAAUACCGCAUGAUGUGUUUCGAUGGCAUCAUCGAGACACCAAAGAUUUAUCGCUGGAAGAUGGCCUCGCGUCUGAUUAGCUAGUAGGCGGGGUAACAGCCCACCAAGGCGACGAUCAGUAGCCGGCCUGAGAGGGUGAACGGCCACAUUGGGACUGAGACACGGCCCAAACUCCUACGGGAGGCAGCAG
rnacentral:rRNA from 1 species